GAUGAACGCUGGCGGCGUGCCUAAUACAUGCAAGUCGAGCGAACGGACGAGAAGCUUGCUUCUCUGAUGUUAGCGGCGGACGGGUGAGUAACACGUGGAUAACCUACCUAUAAGACUGGGAUAACUUCGGGAAACCGGAGCUAAUACCGGAUAAUAUUUUGAACCGCAUGGUUCAAAAGUGGAAGACGGUCUUGCUGUCACUUAUAGAUGGAUCCGCGCUGCAUUAGCUAGUUGGUAAGGUAACGGCUUACCAAGGCAACGAUGCAUAGCCGACCUGAGAGGGGGAUCGGCCACACUGGAACUGAGACACGGUCCAGACUCCUACGGGAGGCAGCAGUAGGGAAUCUUCCGCAAUGGGCGAAAGCCUGACGGAGCAACGCCGCGUGAGUGAUGAAGGUCUUCGGAUCGUAAAACUCUGUUAUUAGGGAAGAACAUAUGUGUAAGUAACUGUGCACAUCUUGACGGUACCUAAUCAGAAAGCCACGGCUAACUACGUG
rnacentral:rRNA from 1 species